UACAGAGGUCUCAAGCGUUGUUCGGAUUCAUUGGGCGUAAAGGGUGCGUAGGUGGCGUCGUAAGUCAGGUGUGAAAUUUCGGAGCUUAACUCCGAAACUGCGUUUGAUACUGCGGUGCUUGAGGACUGGAGAGGAGACUGGAAUUUACGGUGUAGCAGUGAAAUGCGUAGAGAUCGUAAGGAAGACCAGUGGCGAAGGCGGGUCUCUGGACAGUUCCUGACACUGAGGCACGAAGGCCAGGGGGGCAAACGGG
rnacentral:rRNA from 1 species